rnacentral:tRNA from 1 species
GCUCUGUUUGUAUAAGGGUGAGUACGACUGCCUUUCUAGCGGUAAAUACGGGUUCGAUUCCCGUACAGAGUACAA